GUCCUGGUCGGAAACCAGGACACGAAGAAGGAG
rnacentral:ncRNA from 1 species